rnacentral:rRNA from 1 species
AGGACGAACGCUGGCGGCGUGCUUAACACAUGCAAGUCGCGGGGGGUCGCAAGACCAACCGGCGAACGGGUGCGUAACACGUGAGCAACCUACCGAUUUGAGGGGGAUAGCCGGCCCAACGGCCGGGUAAUACCGCAUACGCUUGUAAGGCCUCCUGGUCUAACAAGGAAACCUCCGGGGCAGAUCGAGGGGCUCGCGUCCGAUUAGCUAGUUGGCGGGUAACGCCCACGAAGGCGACGAUCGGUAGCC